UUAACAAAAUUCCAAAGGAUUAACGAGCAGCAGAACGGUGAUCAUGAAAGUUCUAAUUUGCUAAGGAGCGUAUAACGACUCAUCUCCUGAAUCAAUUAGCCCAAAAAAUUGACGUUCCUGAA
rnacentral:rRNA from 1 species